ACGACGCUGCGCGAGGCUAACACAUGCAAGUCGAGCGCCCGCAAGGGGAGCGGCAAGGACGGGUGAGUAACGCGUGGGAAUCUACCUUUUGCUACGGAAUAACUCAGGGAAACUUGUGCUAAUACCGUAUGUGCCCUUCGGGGAAAGAUUUAUCGGCAAAGGAUGAGCCCGCGUUGGAUUAGCUAGUUGGUGGGGUAAAGGCCUACCAAGGCGACGAUCCAUAGCUGGUCUGAGAGGAUGAUCAGCCACACUGGGACUGAGACACGGCCCAG
rnacentral:rRNA from 1 species